rnacentral:rRNA from 1 species
ACGGGAGGCAGCAGUGGGGAAUAUUGGGCAAUGGGCGAAAGCCUGACCCAGCAACGCCGCGUGAAGGAAGAAGGUUUUCGGAUUGUAAACUUCUUUUAUCAGGGACGAAGGAAGUGACGGUACCUGAUGAAUAAGCCACGGCUAACUACGUGCCAGCAGCCGCGGUAAUACGUAGGUGGCAAGCGUUAUCCGGAUUUACGGGGUGUAAGGGGCGCGUAGGCGGGGAUGCAAGUCAGAUGUGAAGUCCAUGGGCUUAACCCGUGAACUGCAUUUGAAACUGGUUCUCUUGAGUGUCGGAGAGGUAGACGGAAUUCCUAGUGUAGCGGUGAAAUGCGUAGAUAUUAGGAGGAACACCAGUGGCGAAGGCGGUCUACUGGACGAUAACUGACGCUGAGGCGCGAAAGCGUGGGGAGCAAACAGGAUUAGAUACCCUGGUA